rnacentral:lncRNA from 1 species
CACCUCGGGCAGUAAGGUUUCAACAUGUGAAUGUUGAGGGGACACAGAUGUUCAACCGGUAAAGAAAGGAGCCAGCUCCCUUAACAGCCUUGCCCUCAGCUGUACGAGGAGAUACACAGAGAAACCAAACAUGCAGUUGCCUGCAUGGUCCUUACUGGUGUGUUUCAUGGUGUGUUUCCCCAAGGAUUCAGUUGCCUGGACCCAGAGCAGUGACUGACUCUGCUGAAUUAGAAAAGUGGAAAAACAUCUUUUUCCUGCCCAACAGCACCUUUCACCCUCUUUGCCAGCUUUAAGACUUCAAGACCACCUCCAAAAACUCCUGAAGGUGGUAUACAGAUUCCACUGUGUUUGGAAGAGGCAGGAUGGAGCACUAGAGAUAAAAAGAGAAAGGGAGAGACAGGAGAAAAGGAAGAAUGACCACUAUCCUGCAUAGCUGCCCAGCAUCUGCUAAGAAAAUAAAAAUGGCUAUAUCUGCAGCCAGAGGCUUGUACCAUCAACCACACACAGAUCAAUAUGUGUUUAUUGGCAUUGACUCUUCUUUUUGUCAGUUUCUUUUCAUUUUUUUCCUUUUGACUUUAAAAAUAGUCUCUUCUUUUAGGAGAGAAAGGGAUGUCCUUAAUUUAACUCUUACAAAUCUUAUCUAAUGCAUAGUUAUCCAGAGGCUUUACUUUAUUCAAAUGAGAGAUAUCAGUAAGUUUUAGGUUACUGAAAAGGAAAGAUGUGAUUUAUUAAAAUCAAAUGUUUUCAGAGUAUGAAAAGAUGUAACCUAGAAGAUAUGAUGGGGAGGAAUUCCACAGGCCUAUGGCAAUUUAAAUGUGUUCAAGCCAGUCUCAAAUGAAGGAUAUUUUAGAUUGUUCAUUACUAUCUAAAAGAAAAGGAAGAGGAAAAGGAGAAAAAAAGGAGAAGCAGCAAUUGCCAAGAGACAGUUGUUCAAUCCAAUAAAGUAAUGAUCUGUGCAAACUCUAAUUAUUGUAUUUGCAAAACAAUAUGUGUAUAAUUUGUGAACUUUCC